rnacentral:tRNA from 4 species
GCGGGUGUCGUAUAAUGGCUAUUACGCCAGCUUCCCAAGCUUGAUACGGCGGUUCGAUUCCGCUCACCCGCUCAA